rnacentral:piRNA from 1 species
UUUAAGAAGGCUGAUUUCUUGUCUUGUG